GGGGGGGGGGUUGGGCCCUAUAUGGGACCUAUAGGGGAUUUUGGGGGGAGAUUUUGGGGUCUAUAAGGGAUUUUUGGAAGGGUUGGGCCCUAUAUGGGACCUAUGGGGUCUGUAGGGGAUUUUGGAGGGAGAUUUUGGGGUCUAUAAGGGAUUUUGAAAGAGAUUUUGGGGUCUAUAGGGGAUUUUUGGGAGGGAGGUUGGGCCCUAUAUGGGGGCUCUAUGGGAUUUUGGGGGAGAUUUUGGGGUCUAUAAGGGAUUUGGGAGGGGUUGGGCCCCACAUGGGACCUAUGGGGUCUAUAGGGGAUUUUUGGGGGAGAUUUUGGGGUCUAUAGGGGAUUUUUGGGAGGGAGCUUGGGCCCUAUAUGGGACCUAUAGUGGAUUUUUGGGGAGAUUUUGGGGUCUGUGGGGGAUUUUGGGGGGGGCCUGGGCCCUAUAUGGGACCUGUGGGGUCUAUAGGGGAUUUGGGGAGGGGCUGGACCCUAUAUGGGACCUAUGGGGGAUUUUGGGGGGGGAUUUUGGGGUCUAUAAGGGAUUUUUGGGAGGGUUGGGCCCUAUAUGGGACCCUGUGGGACCUAUAGGGGAUUUUUGGGGUCUAUAGGGGUUUUUUGGGGGGAGAUUUUGGGGUCUAUAGGGGAUUUUUGGAAGGGUUGGGCCCCAUAUGGGACCUGUGGGGUCUAUAGGGGAUUUUUGGGAGGGUUGGGCCCCUAUAUGGGACCUAUAGGGGAUUUUUGGGGGGGAUUUUGGGGUCUAUAGGGGAUUUUGGGGGGGUUUGGGCCCUAUAUGGGACCUGUGGGGGCUAUAGGGGAUUUUGGGGGAGAUUUUGGGGUCUAGAGGGGAUUUUUGGGAGGGGUUGGGCCCUAUAUGGGACCUGUGGGGGGGAUUGGAGGGGUCUAUAGGGGACUUGGAGGGGGUUGUGGGGCUAUAGGGGACGUUUGAGGGGUUCUAUAGGGGAUUUGGUUGGGCUUGGGUUCUAUAGGGGACUCUUGGGGGGUCUGGGGGACCUUAUGGGGUCUGUGGGGUCUAUAGGGGACCCUGGGGCUCUAUAGGGGCUCUAUGGGGGGGGUUAAAGGGAUUGUUUGGGGUCCUAUAUGGGACCUAUGGGUGGGUUAUGGGAUCUAUAGGGAAAAGUGAGCGGGUUGUGGGAUCUGUAAGGGAUUGGGGGGGGUAUGGGGUCUAUAGGGGAUAUUGGGGGGUUAUGGGGUCUGUAGGGGACGUUUGGGGUCUAUAAGGGGCGGUUAAAGGGAUUUUGGGGGGUCCUAGAUGAGACCUGUGGGGGGAGUUCCGGGAUCUAUAGGGGACAUUUGGGUUCUAUAGGGGAUGGGGGGGGUUUGGGGGUUCUAUAGGGGAUGUGGGGGUUCUAUAGGGGGUUUGAGGGGGUUUUGGGGUCUAUAGGGGACAUUGGGGCCCUAUAGGGGCUCUGUAAGGGGGGGUCUGUAGGAUUCCAUAGGGGAUCUAUAAGGGAUCCAUGGGGAAUCCAUAGGGGUCCCAAAGCUGAUCCAUAGGGGAUCUAUAGGGGACCCAUUGGGGAUCUAUAUGGGAUCCAUAGGGGCUGCCAUGGGGGAUCUGUGGGGGAUCUAUAAGGGCUCCCCAUAGGGGUUCCCAUAGGGGAUCUGUACAGGCUCCCAUAGGGAACGUAUAGGGUACCUAUAGGGGAUCCAGUGGGGUUCCCAUAGGGGAUCUGUAGGGGAUCCAUCGAGGCUUCCAUAGGGGCUCCUGGGGGGGAUCCAUAUGGGAUCUGUGAGGGAUCCAUAGGGGCUCCCGUGGAUGAUCUAUAGGUGACUCCAUAGGGGCUUCACAGGGCAUCCAUAGAUGAUCCAUAGGGGAUCCAUAGGCAAUCCAUGGACUAUCUAUAGGGGAUCCAUAGGGCUCCCCUGGGUGAUCCAUAGGGGCUCCCAUAGAUGAUUCUAUAGGGGAUCCAUAGAUGAUUCCAUAGGGGAUCUAUAGGUGAUCCAUAGACUAUCUAUAGGGGAUCCAUAGGGCUCCCACUGGGGAUCCAUAGGUGAUUCCAUAGGGGCUCCCUUUGGGGAUCCAUAGGUGAUCUAUAGGGGAUCCUUAGGUGAUCUAUAGGGGAUCCAUAGGUGAUCUAUAGGGGAUCCAUAGGUGAUCUAUAGGGGAUCCAUAGGUGAUCUAUAGGGGAUCCUUAGGCGAUCCAUAGGGGCUCCACAGGUGAUUCCAUUGGUGAUCUAUAGGGGAUCCAUAGGACUCCCAUUGGUGAUCCAUAGGGGAUCUAUAGGGCUCCCAUUGGGGAUCCAUAGGGGCUCCAUAGGCGAUCCAUAGGUGCUCCAUAGGCGCUCCAGGGCCCCGCUCCCCAGCGGGGGGCGCUGUCCCGUGCGCCGCCCCCGGGGCCGAGGCCACAGCAAGGCCGGGGUCACCUACGGCCGGGGCCGUAUGGAUCCCAUAGGGGACCCUGCCCUCCGGGGGACCCCGCGGGGGAUCCGCCGCGGCCCCGGCACACGCCGGCCCCUACACACCCUAUGGAUCCUGUAGGGGAUCCCACACAUCCCCUGUAGGAAAUCUGAAAUUCCCCUAUGGAAAAUCCCAAAUUGCCCUAUAGAAAGUCCCAAAUUCCAUAUGGAAAAUCCCAAAUUGCCCUAUGGAAAAUUCCCAAAUCCCCUAUGGAAAAUCCCAAAUUCCCUGUAGGGAAUCCCAAAUUCCCUAUAGAAAGUCUUAAAUUCCCUAUGGGAAAUCCCAAAUCCCCUAUGGAAAAUCCCAACUUCCCCUAUGGAAAAUCCCAAAUCCCCUAUAGAAAUUCCCAAAUACCCUAUAGAAAGUCCCAAAAUUCCUAUGGAAAAUCCCAAUUCCCUAUAGAAAAAUCUCAAAUUCCCUAUAGAAAAUCCCCAAAUCCCCUAUAGAAAUUCCCAAAUCCCCUAUGGAAAAUCCUGAAUUCCCUAUGGAAAAUCCCAAAUUCCCUAUAGAAGAUCUCAGAUCCCCUAUAGGAAAAUCCAAAAUUCCCUAUGGGAAAUCCCAAAUUCCCUAUAGAAAAUCCCAAAAUUCCUAUGGAAAAUCCCAAAUUCCUUAUAGAGGAUCCCAAAUCCCCUAUAGAAAAUUCCAAAUUCCCCUAUAGAAAGUCCUACAUUCCCUAUAGAAAACCACAACUUCCUUAUAGAAAGUCCCAAAAUUCCUCUGGAAAAUCCCAGUUCCCUAUAGAAAAAUCUCAAAUCCCCUAUAGAAAUUCCCAAAUUCCCCUACAGAAAACCCCAAAUUCCCUAUGGAAAAUCACAAAUUCCUUGUAGAAAAUUCCCAAAUUCCCCUGUGGAAAAUCCAAAAUUCCCCUAUAGAAAACCCCAAAUCCCCUAUAGAAACUCCCCUAUGGAAAAUCCCAAUGGAAAACCCCAAAUCCGAGCACAGGUCGAGGCCACCGAGGGACAAAAUCUGGAGAAAAAAAAUUGGAAUUUUGGAGCUUUUUUUGGAGUUUUUUUUAGGAAUUUUUUGAGCCUUUUUUAGGGAAUAUUUGGGAUUUUUUGGGCAUUUUUCCCUCCUUUUUUUGAGAUUUUUUUUGCUUUUUUUUGAGCUUUUAAAGAACUUUUUGUUCAAAUUUUUUCACCCUUUUUAGGGCUUUUUUUAUUAGUUUGGGGUUUUAUUUUUUAACCUUUUUGGAGCUUUUUUUUUUUUCCUUUUUUAAGAUUUUUUUUCAUCUUUUCAGGGAAAAUUUCCCAUUUUUAAUAAAAAUCCUUCAUUUCACUGCAUUUCCUUCCUUUAAAUAAACCUUAAUAAAGAUUUCCAUUUAAAUUUAUUUAAUCGAAUUCUUUCUUUCCCUCCAAAACUCCCAAUUUCCCCCCAAAAAUCCCCAUUUUUUCCCCAAAAAUCCCCUUUUUUUUCCCCAAAAAAAUCCCUUUCCCCCCCCAAAAUUCCCCUCUUUCCCCCCCAAUAAAAAUCCCCUUUUUUCCCUCUAUAACUCCCGGGAAUUUCCCCAUAAAAUUCCCGCGUUUUCCCCCCAAAAUUCCCAAUUUUUUUCCCCCGGGAAUGACGCAAAAUCCGUGACUCAAAAAUCGGGAAUUUCCCCCACGUGGGCGUGGCCUCCUCAAGCCCCGCCCCCUCCGCUCUCCACCAAUCAAAUCCAUUGUGGGCGUGGUUUUCACCCCCUGUUAUAACCCCGAGGCCGCGGGUUCGAAUCCCGGCAUUUCCUUUCCGCCAUGUCGAUGGUCGCGGCGGUCGCGGCCACCGCGAGGUGUCCGGGGCGGAUUUGGGGACAUCCCGAGGGUGUCCCCAAGGGGGUGGCACCGUCCCCACCUCGUCACUUCACCUUCGAACCCCUCCCGCCGCCCCCCGGCCCCUCCAGGCCUCGGCGGCGGCAUCGCCGCGUUCUUUACCCGCCCGCUGUGCGCCGCCCCCUCCCCUCGGAAGAACCCAGCGCCGCCAAGCGACUCCUGCUGCUCCUCCUGGCCGUGGUGGGCACCCAAAUCUACAACGCGCCGGGUGACGUCGCCGAUUGUCACCUCGGGGGGGACAAGGACCCCCCUGGGGACACCCCCAGUCCCAGAGGGACCCCAAAUCCCCAACGGCACAGCGGUGGCGGCACCCAUGGGUGGCUCCUGCCCCUCGGUGUUGGCGUCACCUCCGUUGUCACCUUUGUCGCCGCCUGUGUCGCCCCCUGCUGGCAGCAGGACACGAUGAGGACCCCCCCCCAAAUUGGGGGUGGCGCCCAGGACGGCCACGCCCCCCUGGAUUAAUUAACGAGGUCGUUAAUUAAGGUCGGAGAGCUCCGGGUUGGAAGAAGACGCCGGCGUUGGACGAUCCCAGUUUGGAACUGGGAGGACUGGAAAGGGGCGGAGUCACGGAUUGAGGGGGGGUUUUGCCAUUCCCUGAUUAAUUAGCUGGUUAAUUAACCGCUAAUUAAUGACCAGCUCGUUAAUUAGCUGCCAGUUAAGGUGGGAACAAGCCCCAUGCUGGAAUUUUGAGGUUGCCCAAUCCCAGUUUGGCACUGGGAGCACUGGAAAGGGGCGUGGUCAGGUUGGCCUCGUUAACGAGGUUUUAAUUAACGAGGUCACCUCUACCUCAGCUUCAGCACCUGUGGCUGCUGAAUUUAUUAAUUAUUUAUUGCUAAUUAUUUAUUUGCUAUUUAUUUAUUAUUUAUUUGUCAUUAUUUAUUUGCCAUUAUUUAUUUGUUGCUAUUUAUUAAUUAUUUAUUGAUUAAUUACCUCUGGAUUAUUUAUUGCGAUCCCAUUUCAGGGGCCUUAUUUAAUGUUUUUAAUUAAUUAAACUCAUCAAUUGAAUUAA